rnacentral:rRNA from 1 species
UAACGAAUAUUCCGCAAUGCGCGCAAGCGUGGCGGAGCAAUGCCGCGUGCAGGAUGAAGCCCUUCGGGGUGUAAACUGCUGUCAGGGGACAGGAACUCAAUGACCAUCCCCAAAGGAAGGGCCGGCUAACUUCGUGCCAGCAGCCGCGGUAAUACGAAGGGCUCGAGGGUUAAUCGGAAUCACUGGGCUUAAAGCGUACGCAGGCGGGCUUGAAGGCAUCUUGUGAAAUCCCUCGUCUCAACCGAGGAAUUGCAGGGUGAAUCAUGAGCCUUGAGGCAAGUAGGGGCUGUAGGAACGCUAGGUGGAGUGGUGAAAUGCGUUGAUAUCUAGCGGAACGCCGAAGGAGAAAUCAGACAGCUGGGCUUGUUCUGACGCUGAGGUACGAAAGCGUGGGGAGCGAACGGGAUUAGAUACCCCGGUAGUCC